rnacentral:misc_RNA from 1 species
UGAUUCCAAAGACCAAACUACUGGCUGGAUGAAACAACUUCCUGGUACAUGUAGUUGGGUGUUGUUAUGAUGAUAGGACCACACUUUCUUGCUCAUUUUGAAUGAAUGUUAAUUGUCUGGAUGUAUCCAGCUGAGGGGCCUACUGUAUCCUGGAAAAAGUUCUUGCAGAUAGAAAUGGUGGACAACAUCCAGCUUCUUUGUGAUCCAAGCAACAAAGAAAAUCAUCUGUAAAAAGAGCAAAGAAGUUUGGAAACACCCAACAUGGCCGACAGUCAGCAAGGCGUUGGCAGCGGGCGUGCCCGUGGUCGGGGGCGAGGCCGCGGCCGUGGGCGGGCCUCUGCAGGGCAGCAGCAGGGCCAGCCCCGGAGGCCUGGGGAGACAGCGCCUGCCACGCCCAUGCCUAGUGGUGAUGCUGAAGCCAUGCCUGCCCCAGGGAGGGGCAGAACCAGGGGAGGGGCUUCCCAGGUCCCUGGAUCAGGAGCUGCUAUAAGCAUGGAGCAAAGAGCGGCCAUGGCCGAGAGUUACCAUCCUCAUGCCCCGAGACCAAUGCCAGCUGAAGCGCCCCCUACAGCUCAGAUGGCAGCGUUGAGCAUGGGCGGGGCCCAGGGUGCUGAGGGAGGGGGAGUCAGUGGCCGCGGCAGACAGACAGAGCUCCGCUACGGAGAACAAAAAGCACCCAGACCCAUUGAUAAGAGAGGCAAGAAAGGAAAGCCGGUGGAGGUCUUGACCAACUGUUUCCGCAUGAAGGCUGCUGAUCAGUGGCUUCUGCACCAGUACAGCGUGGACUUCAGCCCCGUUGUGGACAACCCUAGGGCACGUCAUGCCCUGCUACGGGCUCACUCUGAGAUCCUAGGCACCCCCAUGGCCUUUGAUGGGAUGAUGUUGUUCCUGCUUCGAAGGCUUGAUGAGCCGGUGACCAGGUUUCAAACCAAACGCCGUGACUCUGAUGACAUCAUCACCAUUACUGUGACUCUCAAGAAUGCGCUGCCUCCUACUUCACCAACCUGCAUGCAGGUUUACAACAUCAUCUUCCGCAAGAUCCUUGGAUUGGUUGGCUUUGAGCAGAUUGGCCGGAACUAUUUCAACCCCAACGCCAAAAGGGAAAUCCAGCAACACAAGAUCCAGCUCCUGCCCGGUUUCAUCACCUCCAUCUUGCAGUAUGAGCAGGAGGUGCUCCUGAUGGCGGACGUCUCUCACAAGAUCCUGAGGACGGAGACAGUCUUGGACAUGCUGGCUGAGAUUCAGCAGACCAAGGGAGCAGGCUGGAGGGAUGUGGCCAAGAGAGUACUGGCAGGAGAAAUUGUCCUGACCAAGUACAACAACAAGACCUACCGAGUGGACGACAUCGACUUUAAUAUCAAUCCCAUGAACACAUUCGACAAGUUGGACGGCACUAAAAUAACCUACGCCCAGUACUACCGGGAUGCGUACGGGUUAAAUAUCAGUGAUCUAGGACAGCCACUGCUGGUCAGCAAUCCAAAGAAAAGGGAUCAGCGCCGGGGAAUGAUUGAUCACAUCCACCUGAUCCCUGAGCUGUGUACCCUGACGGGGCUCAGCGAAGCUAUGCGCAGUGAUUUCCACGUCAUGAAGGACCUGUCUGUGUACACUCGCAUCACGCCCAACGUCCGCAUGAAAGAGCUGACCAACUUCAUCGGUAGCUUUCCCAGGAAUCAAGAGGCGAAUACUUACCUGCAAAAGUGGCAGGUGAGCUUUGAAGCUCAGCCAGUCAGGAUCAACGCUCGCAUCAUGGAUCGGGAGAAAAUCCUCACCGGUCACCAGGGAAAGAAUGAGAUUUCCUUGGGGGAGAAUGCAGAGUGGAGCAGAGAUCUGCGGAAGGAUCUGCUGAGCUGUAUUGGUCUGCACAACUGGCUGCUGAUCUACACAGCGCGUGAUAGCAAGAACGCCAUGGAAUUCCUGAACGCCUUCAACACAGUGGCACCGCGUUUGGGAAUGGAAACCAGACCACCCUUAAUAUGUGAGCUACGUGAUGACCGCACUGAAAGCUUUAUCCGUGCCAUCCGACAGAACUUGAGUCCCCAGACACAGAUGGUUGUGUGUAUCCUACCAACUAUUCGUAAGGAUCGCUACGACGCCAUCAAGAAGUUCUGCUGUCUAGAGGCACCGGUACCCAGCCAGUGCAUUGUGGGUCGCACUAUCAACAAGAAACAGACCGUCAUGUCCGUAGCUACCAAGAUUGCUAUGCAAAUCAACUGCAAGAUGGGGGGAGAGUUGUGGACAGUUUUAAUUCCAUCCAAAAUGUUGAUGAUGGUGGUAGGAAUCGACUCUUAUCACGACUCCGCCACUAGAGGGCGCUCUGUCGGUGGCUUUGUCGCUUCCAUGAAUCAUGACCUUAGCAGGUACUUUUCACGAUGUACAUUCCAGCACACAGGACAGGAGCUCAUUGAUGGUCUCAAAGUCUGCAUGACAACCCUAAGUGCGCUGUGGUCGUCGUUAAGAAGCGAAUCAACAAUAGAUUUUGCUCCUUGAAUCAAGGAAAUCUCGUGAACCCAUCCCCAGGAACGGUGAUCGACUCGGUGGUCACCAAACCAGACUUAUACGACUUCUUCCUUGUCAGUCAGUCUGUACGCCAGGGCACGGUCACUCCAACCAGUUACAAUGUGAUCUGGGACAACUCGGGUCUGGCACCAGACAGCAUGCAAAGCCUGACCUACAAGCUCACCCAUCUGUACUUCAAU